CUCUCAGUGUGAGUACGUCCCAUGCAAUAUUUGGGACAUACUCACACUAAAA
rnacentral:pre_miRNA from 1 species